rnacentral:rRNA from 1 species
AGGUAUCAGAAGUGCGAAUGCUGACAUAAGUAACGAUAAAGCGGGUGAAAAGCCCGCUCGCCGGAAGACCAAGGGUUCCUGUCCAACGUUAAUCGGGGCAGGGUGAGUCGACCCCUAAGGCGAGGCCGAAAGGCGUAGUCGAUGGGAAACGGGUUAAUAUUCCCGUACUUGGUGUUACUGCGAAGGGGGGACGGAGAAGGCUAUGUUGGCCGGGCGACGGUUGUCCCGGUUUAAGCGUGUAGGUGUGUGUUCCAGGUAAAUCCGGUUCACUUUAACACUGAGGCGUGACGACGAGGCACUACGGUGCUGAAGCAACAAAUGCCCUGCUUCCAGGAAAAGCCUCUAAGCAUCAGGUAACAUCAAAUCGUACCCCAAACCGACACAGGUGGUCAGGUAGAGAAUACCAAGGCGCUUGAGAGAACUCGGGUGAAGGAACUAGGCAAAAUGGUGCCGUAACUUCGGGAGAAGGCACGCUGACACGUAGGUGAAGUGAUUUACUCAUGGAGCUGAAGUCAGUCGAAGAUACCAGCUGGCUGCAACUGUUUAUUAAAAACACAGCACUGUGCAAACACGAAAGUGGACGUAUACGGUGUGACGCCUGCCCGGUGCCGGAAGGUUAAUUGAUGGGGUCAGCGCAAGCGAAGCUCCUGAUCGAAGCCCCGGUAAACGGCGGCCGUAACUAUAACGGUCCUAAGGUAGCGAAAUUCCUUGUCGGGUAAGUUCCGACCUGCACGAAUGGCGUAAUGAUGGCCAGGCUGUCUCCACCCGAGACUCAGUGAAAUUGAACUCGCUGUGAAGAUGCAGUGUACCCGCGGCAAGACGGAAAGACCCCGUGAACCUUUACUAUAGCUUGACACUGAACAUUGAGCCUUGAUGUGUAG